rnacentral:misc_RNA from 1 species
UGAUGAUCCCAAGCCUUCUGGCGAUCUAGACAAAACAAGUCCACCGUGGGCUUUGAAAAACGCUUUCCUUGAUAAAAUUUAAGCGUUUUAUAAGAGGAUGCCGGGGAAGGUUUUCCGGUUUAUCCCGGAGGGCUUGUAACUCAGUUCGUUAGAGCGCGCGCUCG